rnacentral:other from 1 species
GAAAGCCUGCGGUGUACGGAAAUUCUUUAAUUCAACCGACAUAUUGUAAAAGGGAAUUCGCGUCCGGGAGACUAUGACAGGCCCGCUUUGACGGGAAGCCAGAACAGCUCGGUAGAAAUCCCACCUGCUUAGAUGCGGGUAUGAAUUAAUGGUUUGCGGCUCUCGCGGGUUUUUU